UAGUGUUGUGUGACAGCAGGACUAGUGUUGUGUUACAGCAGGACUAGUGUUGUGUGACAGCACGCCAAGUGUUGUGUGACAGCAGGACUAGUGUCGUGUAACAGCAGUACUAGUGUUGUGUGAUAGUAUGCCUAGUGUUGUUUGACAGCAGGACAAGUGUUGUGUGACAGCAGGACUAGGGUUGUGACAGCACGCCUAGUGUUGUGUGACAGCAGGACUAGUGUUGUGUGACCGCAGGACUAGUGUUGUGUGACAGCACGUCAAGUGUUGUGUGACAGCAGGACUAGUGUCGUGUAACAGCAGUACUAGUGUUGUGUGAUAGUACGCCUAGUGUUGUUUGACAUCAGGACAAGUGUUGUGUGACAGCAGGACAAGUGUUGUUUGACAGCAGGACAAGUGUUGUGUGACAGCAGGACAAGUGUUGUGUGACAGCAGGACUAGGGUUGUGACAGCACGCCUAGUGUUGUGUGACAGCAAGCCAAGUGUUGUGUGACAGCACUUCUUGUGUUUUGUGACAGCACGCAAUUUUUUUUAUAAUUUUGAUAAAAGAAAUCUAAAGAAAUUACGGCAAAGUUAUUCCAAUUAUUUAAACUUUAUUGUCUUUACAGUUGCGUGUCUUUUUAUACUGAUAUCAUGGGAAAUACAAACGUGAAUGGUGCUUUUGGCGCCCUUUCCUAUUCCAAAAAAAGGUUUUUCGCCCAAAUUGCAUUUGCUAAAAGGUUCUUAAGGGUGGUAAUUAUUCGUGAAAAUAAAGGUUGCAAGUAACCUCAAGCCAUACAAGAGCCAUAAGCCAUAUUACUUUCAUUUCAUGGAUAAUUCUCAUUUUUAAUAUUUUGGGAUCCAUGGGUCCUUUCGGUCGUAGAAUUGUCAUUUGCCGAUCGGCUGAUAACUAUUUUUAGAAAUAGGUGUACCGUAAAUGAUCCAAUAAACGCCCGGGGCGUUAAUUAAUUUUCUAUGGUCCGAGGAGGCGUUUAGAGAAGGGCGUUCUUUACAAACUAUAACAAUAUGAAAAAUCCAAGUGCAGUAGGGUUCUAGUCUUGAAAUGCGUAGCAAGCGUUGCUUGACAUUAAGCGAGUCUUACCCAGUAGAAGCCAAAUUCAGAUUAAUAAAAUUUUAUUUAUAUUUACGAAA